CUCAAACCUUUUUUCAAUAAUGUUCCCCCUCUGAACAGUGUUUUUAAGCCAUGUAGCCCCUAACCAGCACAAAUAUUCUUAACAAGUUGUUCUCGCAUAG